GACCGACUUCAAUUUUAUUUCCUCAAUCUCUAACCUUUUUUAUUCCAACCUCUCACCUCUUCCUCUCUAUUUUUCAUUCUUUUAUCAAGAAAGGAGGCAAGAAGAAGAUGCAUAGACACAUUAAUACCAACUACUUUUUUAUUUUUUAUGUUUUUAUACUUUUUCCUCUUGUUACCUCUUGAUUUGGUUUUGAUUUGCUUCAUCUACUACAUUGUGGUGUG
rnacentral:lncRNA from 1 species